rnacentral:piRNA from 1 species
UGCCUUAGAAAUUUAGAGGUUGUGCAUUC